CCCAAGAGCUAGGAUUACAGGCGUGAGCCACAGCGCCCGGCUAAAUUAUUUUUUAAUACAUGUAUGAGUUCAGUGUCUGGCAGCAUAUAGCGAGUUUUAACUUAUGUUUUUAAGACAGUAAAUCAUAUUUUCUUUUGUUCUGACACAAGGAGUAUCAAACUUUUUCCACUGAGGGACUAGUAGUAAAUAUUUUAGGCUUUAUAGGCCAUACGCACUCUCUGUCAUUUGUUUGUUUGUUUGUUUGUUUAUACAAUCCUUUAAAAAUGUGAAAACCGUUCUUGGCUUGUGUACCUUAGCCUGCCAGCCCAGUCUUAGCCAGUGGUCACAGGCAGAUUCAUCUGCUGUACUCGGAAAGCCUCACGCUUCCACCCUUUUGGCUUUUUAAAAACUUAAACACAAAUAAAAGUACAGAGAGUAUGUAACACCCAUGUAUCCUUCAUCCCACUUCAAAAAAUGCUAACUGUUGUGUGUCUACUUUAGCUUUCCUCUUUCCCCGACGACUCGCAGCAACCGUGCAGACGUCCUUGUGCGUCCUUCUCAGCUGGCGAGUCACUGAAAUCAGUGACCUCUCCUGGCCGGGCCUGAAGUCGGACUGCAGGCCCCGUCUUCGUGCAGGCAGGUGGCCGUGCCGCUGCACGGGCACUGGGGAGGGAACGGUGACGUCGCUCCUCGGCGCAAGCAGUGAUGAAGCAAGCGGAAGUGCGUCUUCCUCGUCCUCUCCCCGCCCGCCACACGCCACACGGAGAGAGAGGGACCAAGGGCCACGUGACAGAAACAGCCAGGGGCCUUGGAGUUCCCAGUUUCAAGUUCCUUGAAACUUCCACAUCAGACUGUGAUGUACGUGGGAAUAAUGCCUCUCAGAAGAAAAACGUGACUAAAUGAUGUAUAGUUAAUAUAAAAUGACAAUCCUGAACACAGCAAGCUCAUGAAGAAAACGGCGCUCUUUGAGCUGAGUGGCUUUUCUAAACUUUGGAGACAUGAAUCUUAGAAACAUUCAACUCUUAGCUACUUGGGGCCUUCUGAGCUAAUCUGCGGAUGACAACACUUUCUUCUCUAUUAUUACCCACAGUACUCUUUGGUAAGAAGAACCAAAAACUCCCAGGGCUGUAGAGUACAGUCUACAUUUUUAGUGCUUUUGAAUGAGUUUGGCUCUGAAGAUAGAUGCUGUAUUGAAACUUCUGGAGAAACAAGUUUCUUCUGUUGGUGCUCACAGGGGGACUGUGUGGCCAGGUCCUCAUGGUUUGUCCUACUCCUUUACAAUUACUAAGCCCAAACCUGACCCUGACGUAUUCACUCAAAGAAAGGGAGAAUAGCCCAGCCCCUGUGACUGCUCCGUCCUGAGCCAGCGAUGGCUGAAGACAGCUUUUGUAACAUGGGCACUUGAAUUAGGGGCUGGACUGAGAUGGUACGGGCAGCAGAGCGGUUAUAAAACAAGGUGAUUACUUUCAGCUAUGAUAGGAUUGGGCAAUGUGAGCUGCAGGUGAUAAACUCUGUAACCCAUGAAUGUACCUCUGCUUUAUCCAUUUUCCAUAUGAGGGUUUGCUUAGUUUUUUAAUUUUUUCCUAAAGGGU